rnacentral:lncRNA from 1 species
GAAUAUAAAGUUGGUAUUGAGUCAUUAGGAUUAAACCGGUGGUUAAUGUAUGUAAACCGGUAGUAUAAAUAUAGGUACAAGACUCUGUAAACAGUUAUGAGCUUAUACAUUUUACUCUUUGGAAUCGUAACAAACUCUUUGAGCUCAUCUUCUAAUAGUCCCUGAUCACAAAGCUCUAUUCUUUAAUCCCAAGAUCAAGGUGUUUGAACUCACGUCGUGUGAAGACCGCUCUUGCUGAUUAUUAAUGUUACCUUCCAGAGGAAAACACUAUAGAGAGCGUUUAUUUUGACUUUGGUAGAAUGAAUUCAUAACACCAAAACGUUUAGUAAUACGAAUGACUGUUUUUUUUUUUUUUUUUGUAAUUUAACGAAUGACUGUUUUUAUAAGUAAAAGUGUCCCAGCAAAAGCUAGAGUUUUGAUUGACCAGGAUGAGAAUCUUUUCUUGAUGUGAUGCAUUAGGUGUUCACAACUUGCGAGGGUUAGCUUACUAGAGGAAAGAGGAACACAAAGAUAACAGACGGGGAGGGAUCCACAAACCAUUCCCAUAAAUCUAGUUAAUGUUUAUACUGAGUUUAGGUGUGUUACAUCUAUUUUCUUUGUUUUUCCUUGUACCCCUUUUCUAAAUUAAACUAAUUUAGCUAUAUUAAAAUAAUUUUACAAUAUUUUUUUUAUUGCAGAUUAUACAUAAAAAACAACUCUUAUAUCGAAAAAAGCUUAGAUAUACAAAUUCCGUACUUUGAUUUUCAUUGUUUAUUCCUCAUAUCCUUUUAAAUUUAAUUAGUUAAAGUAUAUUUACAUAAAAAUACUAAAUAAAUAACUCUUCUAUAUGAAAGCAAAUAUCUGUAGAUCACAUCGAUUUCGUACUUGGUUGAGGAGCGUUACAAUGAUUUCUUUCUUAUUUUCUUUUUUAUCCCCUUCUAAAGUCAAUAAUGGUGUCAUUUUAAAAUGUUUAG